UGAAUAAAUUAUAGAAAAUAAAUUAUUACAUAAAAUAAAUUAUUAUAUAUAAUAAAAUAAUAUAUAUUAUUUUAAAUUAGAUUCUUACAUUUUAUAUUAUAUUAUAAAUUACUAUAUGAAAUAAUUUUAUAAAUAAUUUUAUAUAAAAUAUACUAAUAUAAAUUAAUUAUUUUAUUUUUAAAAAUAUAUUUGUUGUUCUAGACUUUUUAUCCAAACGCUAUUAAGGAUAUCCUCUAGAAUAUCCUCGAAUGCAUCCAAACACAAAUUUACAAUUGUUCUAUCUUGUACCGGAAUAUUCCCUGUUCUCGGGAACAACAAAAGUUGUUCUCCAAAAUUUAGUUCUCCAACCAAACGCAGCCUAACAGUAUAACAUUGCAACUAGUACUUUUUAUCAUUCAAUCGAACAAAGAGUAAAACCUAAUUAUAUUGUUCUAUUAUGCCCCGAGAGUGUAAAUUUGGAACGAAUCUAUGUCAACUUUCGCAAGAACCAAAGCCGGAACAACAUUAGAAAACUCAGUUGCGACCUAACUGUAUAACGUUUCAACAAGUAGUUUUUCUCAUUCUAUCGAACAAAGAGUAAAACCUUAUUAAAUUGUUCUAUUAUGCCCCGAGAGUGUAAAUUUGGAACAAAUCGAUGUCAACUUUCGCAAGAACCAAAACCGGAACAACAUUAGACAACUCAGUUUCGACCUAACAGUAUAACGUUGCAACAAGUAGUUUUUCUCAUUCUAUCGAACAAAGAGUAAAACCUAAUUAAAUUGUUCUAUUAUACCCCGAGAGUGUAANGAGUGCCCUGCGAGCGAGAGCGAGAGAAAGAGAAAGGGGAGAGCGCGAGAUGACGAGAGAGGAGACGAGAGAGGCGCGAGAUCAAGAGAGAGGCGAGGGAGCGAGCGGGACCGAGAGAGCGAGCGGGACCGAGAAGGAGGUGAAGGGGAGAGAGAGAGAAAGAGAUGUGUAGUAGGGUUUAGCUUUAGGAAGAAAAAAUAAAAGGGGAGUGAAGUUAGCUGCUACUGUGCUAGUGAUCUAAUAAUAGCCGUUGGAUCAUACGGGUGUAGGAUAUACACCUUUCUAUAGGAGUACAGGUAGACUUUUCCUUAAAAAAAUGAAACUAAAUAAAAAUAUUUUACUAAAUGCAAAUAAACCGAAUGAAACCAGCUUAAUUAUUUUGGUUUUUGGUUCAUGUCUCUAAUUCGAUUUAAUUCGGUUUUCUAAGAAACUAUAAAAAAAUCAAAUCAAAUCAAACCGAACCGACCAAUGCUCACCCAAAUGUUAUUUUAAAA
rnacentral:lncRNA from 1 species